rnacentral:rRNA from 1 species
AGAGUUUGAUCCUGGCUCAGGAUGAACGCUAGCGACAGGCCUAACACAUGCAAGUCGAGGGGCAGCACGGUGUAGCAAUACACGGGUGGCGACCGGCGCACGGGUGAGUAACGCGUAUGCAACCUGCCUACUACAAGGGGAUAACCCGUUGAAAGACGGACUAAUACCCUAUAACACAGGGAAUCCGCAUGGAUAUAUUUGUUAAAGAUUUAUCGGUAGUAGAUGGGCAUGCGUUCCAUUAGCUUGUUGGUGAGGUAACGGCUCACCAAGGCAACGAUGGAUAGGGGAACUGAGAGGUUGAUCCCCCACACUGGAACUGAGACACGGUCCAGACUCCUACGGGAGGCAGCAGUGAGGAAUAUUGGUCAAUGGACGAGAGUCUGAACCAGCCAAGUCGCGUGAAGGAAGACGGCCCUACGGGUUGUAAACUUCUUUUGUACAGGAAUAAAGUGAGUCACGUGUGGCUUUUUGUAUGUACUGUACGAAUAAGGAUCGGCUAACUCCGUGCCAGCAGCCGCGGUAA